rnacentral:rRNA from 1 species
AUACGGAGGGUGCAAGCGUUACUCGGAAUCACUGGGCGUAAAGCGCGCGCAGGCGGCCUGAUAAGUUGGAUGUGAAAGCCUACGGCUCAACCGUAGAACUGCAUCCAAAACUGUCAGGCUAGAGUGUGGGAGAGGAAGAUGGAAUUAGUUGUGUAGGGGUAAAAUCCGUAGAGAUAACUAGGAAUACCAAAAGCGAAGGCAAUCUGCUGGAACACUACUGACGCUGAGGCGCGAAGGCGUGGGGAGCAAACAGGAUUAGAAACCCGAGUAGUCC